rnacentral:rRNA from 1 species
GCCUGGGAAUAUACCAUAAGGUGGGGGACAACAGUUGGAAACGACUGCUAAUACCGCAUGAUGUCUACGGACCAAAGAGGGCCUCUAUUUAUAUGCUCUUGCCUUUUGAUUAGCCCAGGUGGGAUUAGCUAGUUGGUGAGGUAAAGGCUCACCAAGGCGACGAUCUCUAGCUGGUUUGAGAGGAUGAUCAGCCACACUGGAACUGAGACACGGUCCAGACUCCUACGGGAGGCAGCAGUGGGGAAUAUUGCACAAUGGGGGAAACCCUGAUGCAGCCAUGCCGCGUGUGUGAAGAAGGCC